UCCGGGUUGGUUUAAUGGGAAAAACACCUGCCCCGUAAUGUGGCUGCAGACACCGCUCAAAAUUGUGGUUGCCACACACCGCAGACGCGCUAACUCCGGCGACCCGCCCAUGAGGGAGAUGCUGGUUCGAAUCCAGCACCCGGCA